GAUGAAGAACGUAGCGAAAUGCGAUAAGUAAUGUGAAUUGCAGAAUUCAGUGAAUCAUCGAAUCUUUGAACGCACAUUGCGCCCGCCAGUAUUCUGGCGGGCAUGCCUGUUCGAGCGUCAUUUCAACCCUCAAGCUCAGCUUGGUGUUGGGACUCGCGGUAACCCGCGUUCCCCAAAUCGAUUGGCGGUCACGUCGAGCUUCCAUAGCGUAGUAAUCAUACACCUCGUUACUGGUAAUCGUCGCGGCCACGCCGUAAAACCCCAACUUCUGAAUGUUGACCUCGGAUCAGGUAGGAAUACCCGCUGAACUUAAGCAUAUCAAUAAGCGGAGGA
rnacentral:misc_RNA from 1 species